rnacentral:lncRNA from 1 species
GUCUGUCUCUGUGUCUGUCUCACACGUGUGUGCGCGCGCGCGCGCGCACACACACACACACACACACACACACACACACACACACACACACUCUCUGAGCAUAAGCUGCUAGCCAGACUCCCUCUCCCCAUUUUCUGCCAACAUUUCAGAUACUUCCUUGAGGUCUGUUCUCAGAGCUCCUGACAAUUUGUGGUGUUUAGUGACAGAACUGUUACUUUCACAUUUCUUGCUGUUUUAAUGAGACUAUCUGUAGCUAAGAAAAGUGACAUGGUGGCUGGUCCCCUCCCUGGCUCACUGCUGGUCAGCAUUGCCCUUGCUACUUCCAGCCUGCCCUGAAUAUUCCCAUCUCUGCCCAAUAGCGACUACCGAUUUUCUCAAGAUUUGGAGGAUAUGAAAUUUACUCAUCUUAGAAGAGAACUGGACAUCGUAAACCAAAAAAGAUAUUUUAAACAGUCAACAUUUAACCCAAAGGAAUACAUCUUUAAUGGUAAAAUUUUGAACUGUGAUAUGGUUUGGCCCUGUGUCCCUACCCAAAUCCCAUGUUGAAGCGUGAUCAUGAGUGUUGGAGCCAUGUAGGGCAUGCCUCCUUCUUCUUUGCCUUCUGCCAUGAUAGUAAGUUUCCUGAAGACUCCCAGCCAUGCCUCCUGUACAGCCUGGGGAACUGUGAGUCAAUUAAACCUCUUUUCUUUACAAAUUACCCAGUUUUAGGCAGUUCUUUAUAGCAAUGCAAUAACUAAUACAGACUGGGUAUAGAAGUUAUUUUAGAGGGUGGAUUCUCCUCUGCAUUAUCAAAUUACAUCACAUAAAAUUUGCCUAUAUGUGUUUACUUUUAUCACAAAUACUAAAAUUAACACUUUGCCCUUUUAUAUGGUAUAAUGGUAACCCAUCAGACAGAACCCAGUAUGAAGCUCAGCUUUACCCUCUUCCAGGCUAUGGCAAAUCAUUGAACUGAUCUGAGCCUCAGUUUCCUAGUCUGUAAAAUGAGGGGAAAAAAAACUCCCACCAGAUGAAUUAUAGAUCUAAAUGUUUUAAUGUCCUUCAAAUAAAUUCAAUGGCUCACUCAUAAUGGGUACUCCAUAAAUGUUAAUUCUCUUCCCCUGAUUCUCCUUUUUCCAGGUGCAAUAAGCACAAUGAUCAGUCAUUUCUGAGCCAGCUCCUUUACUUGAUAUCACUCCAUUGUAGGUUGUCUUUUCCAAUGUACCCCAGGUUAUUUUCCCCUACUAACAGAAGGUCAUUACAUUAACUAAAUACUUUCUUUUGCUUGUCAAUGACAUCUUACUUUAAAUCCAAGCUCUCCCUACUUCACAGAGCUUCCAGUAAAACAGAUGAGAGGAAAUCAUAGUCCUCUGAUCACAGGGCCACCAUUUCAGCAGGUACCAGCUAUUCUUAAUGAAAAUAGUACCAAGACAACACACAGAAGAAAAAACAUUUAUGAGAAACUCUAAAAUGCACGAGAGGUAUUAAGGGGAAAGUGAGUUAUAAUCAUGCUGUUGGAUUCUUUUUCCAUUUUAUUUCUUCUGAGAGUGGAGUUCAUUUUCCUGACUCCCAAUACAAUGACACCAUAUUAGACACAUAUUUUUAGAAAAGGUAUAUUAUUGUUGACCUAUUAUAUGUGCUGCUCGUAAUCAUCCAAGUAAUGCCUGGGUGAUGGGCCUAACACAACAGGGAGGCAAUGGCUAGACAAAGAGCUACUCCCUGAAACGUGCAGAAAAUAGUCAAACAAGGAGAUUAUCCAAAGUUCCAUCGCUGUGUACAAUACUUAUCUUCUUGAGUCAGGAAGAAGGGGACAGACAGUCUUCAGUUUAUUUCUCACUGAACUGAUCCUUUGUUUCCCUCCCCCCACCACCUACAGAAUCUAAAUUAGAGUGAUUUCCUCCCGCAGAAAAGUCAGGCCAUCCAUCCUGACAUAUGCAGAUUUGAAGAUGAUGUGGGAGAGGAAAGAAAGGGCGAGGAAAUUUAUGUUCUAUCCUCAGAAGCUGACUCACGGACCAAGCAGGUAGAACUAAGGGGUCUUUCCACAGCAAACCUGAGAAAUACUGACAUAAAAAUAUCUCUGGACUGGACCCAAGAUUCAGAAGAACUGCAUUCAAGCCCCAGCUUCACCAAAAUACCAUCCUCUGCUACACAGAAGCUGCCCCUCGGGCAAAGUCUCAAAGGAGAGGUACAAGAGGGACAGGGAAGCUGCAAGGCGGGAAGCAAACCCCUAGCGGAGAGAACAGUCUAUGCUACCAUGACAAAGAGGCAUUAAUCAGCUUGGUGCUGGGUAACUUCAAGUGGCUUCGUGUUGCUGGAGCGUUGGAUACGUCAAACACCAAGGACAAAGCACGAGAGGGGAGCACAAUAAAACUACUGUCUGCCUAAGACCUGCUCCUGUCUGCCACAGAGCCCUUUGAAAGCCUGGUUGAGUUGGGCUUUCUUCUGUAAGUCUGCAGUCUUUAAAUUUACUCUGUUCAUUACCCGCUAAAUCACUGAAAAUCUGUCUGCCUGAUGUCUGCAACUUACUUUGAACUGCAUGGAAGAACAACGUGGGUUUAUGGAUACGUAGAUGAAUAGCUAGGUAAAAAGAUAUGCAAUAAGGCAAAUAUAUUGAAAAGUUUAGCCAGGCACGGUGGCUCAUGCCUGUAAUCCCAGCACUUUGGGAGGCUGAGGCGGGCAGAUCACCUGAGGUCGGGAGUUCAAGACCAGCCUGACCAACAUGGAGAAACCCCAUGUCUACUAAAAAUACAAAAUUAGCCUGGCAUGGUAGUACAUGCCUGUAAUCUCAGCUACUCAGGAGGCUGAGGCAGGAGAAUUGCUUGAACCUGGGAGGCAGAGGUUGCAGUGAGCCAAGAUCGUGCCAUUGCACUCCAGCCUGGGCAACAACAGCAAAACUCCAUUUCCAAAAGCAAAGUUUAUAGACUCUCAAUGGUGCAUAUGUGAAAGUUCACUAUACAAUUCUUUGAUCCUCUCUGUAUUUUUAAACUUUUUUUCAUCAUAAAAAUGUUAUGGGAGAAAACACUAUAUGCCUGUCAUCUAUUUAAGGUUUUUCAUCACAGGUUUACUUUUUUUUAGACAAAAGGACAUAGAAAAUGUUAAACAUUUUAUAAAAUGAAAUAAGAUGAGAAUUGACUAUUUAAGAAACAAGUAUUACAUUUUAGGUAUCAAAAAAUCAAUUUUUAACUACCUUGCUAUAAAGCACACUGAAUCUGAGAGAAAUCAUAUAAAUUAUUUAUCCUUAGUUUUUAUACAAUUAUCUUGAAAAUGUGAUACUCUUCCAGAACACUCCAGUUACAUUUGAAAGAAUCAUAAUCAUUAAGCUUUACCAUUCCAUCUGGUUUGUAUUCAGACCAUCCCAACUCCAGCCAAAUCCAAGCUCUACCCUUAACGGAGAGAUGUAUAAGACAGGAAACACAGGAAGCCCAAUGGGAUCAAGGUGUCACAAAAACAAGAAAACUUCCCUAAAAACCAAGAUUUCUGGCCAGGCGUGGUGGCUCACACCUGUAAUCCCAGCACUUUGGGAGGCCGAGGCAGGCCAAUCACCUGAGGUCAGGAGUUCGAGACCAGCCUGGCCAACAUGGUGAAACCCCGUCUCUACAAAAGAUACAAAAUUAGCCGGGUGUCAUGGUACAUGCCUGUAAUCCCAGCUACUCCGGAGACUGAGGCAGGACAAUCACUUAGAACCCAGGAAGUGGAGUGAGCAGAGAUCACGCUACUGUGCUCCAGCCUAGGUGAUAGAGCGAGUCUCGGUCUCAAAAAAAUAAAUAAAAUAAAACCAA